rnacentral:rRNA from 1 species
GACGAACGCUGGCGGCGUGCCUAAUACAUGCAAGUAGAACGCACAGUUUAUACCGUAGCUUGCUACACCAUAGACUGUGAGUUGCGAACGGGUGAGUAGCGCGUAGGUAACCUGCCUGGUAGCGGGGGAUAACUAUUGGAAACGAUAGCUAAUACCGCAUAAUAUUAAUUAUUGCAUGAUAAUUAAUUGAAAGGUGCAAUUGCACCACUACCAGAUGGACCUGCGUUGUAUUAGCUAGUAGGUGAGGUAACGGCUCACCUAGGCGACGAUACAUAGCCGACCUGAGAGGGUGAUAGGCCACACUGGGACUGAGACACGGCCCAGACUCCUACGGGAGGCAGCAGUAGGGAAUCUUCGGCAAUGGACGAAAGUCUGACCGAGCAACGCCGCGUGAGUGAAGAAGGUUUUCGGAUCGUAAAGCUCUGUUGUAAGAGAAGAACGGGUGUGAGAGUGGAAAGUUCACACUGUGACGGUAUCUUACCAGAAAGGGACGGCUAACUACGUG